UGUUCUAAGACUUAUUUAUAUUUGCAUCGAGCGUAUGUGCCCUAAGACUCCCCCAGUUUAGGUCUAUGCCAUUGGGCUAAACUUGAACUCUUACUGUAUUAUUGACUAUAUUUCGUGCCUUCAUUUCUAAAUUCCGCCACGUCGGAUCGCACCGCUCAGAAUCUCCGCCAUCUCUCUCUCUUAGGUGCCCCUCUGCCUUGCUGUGCCGCGCCGUUCAUCUGCUUAAUUCGUC
rnacentral:lncRNA from 1 species